rnacentral:tRNA from 1 species
GGUUGUAGCUCAGUGGUAGAGCACUCACCUAGCACAUGUGAGGGCCUGGGUUCCAUCCUCAGCACCA